CUAAAUAGGCAAAUAAUUGCAUCUUUGGAUUAACAGUCCAAGGCUUUUAUUCAUGUUAAGCUACUAUUUA
rnacentral:tRNA from 1 species